AUUGAACGCUGGCGGCAUGCCUAACACAUGCAAGUCGAACGAGUAGCGGACGGGUGAGUAAUGUCUGGGAAACUGCCUGCUGGAGGGGGAUAACUACUGGAAACGGUAGCUAAUACCGCAUACCAUCGGAUGUGCCCCGAUGGGAUUUGCUAGGAGGUGGGUGAACGGCUCACUGUGGCGACGAUCCCUAGCUGGUCUGAGAGUAUGACCAGCCACACUGGAACGGGGACACGGUCCAGAGUCCUACGGGAGGCAGCAGUGGGGAAUAUGGGACAAUGGGCGCAAGCCUGAUGCAGCCAUGCCGCGUGUAUGAAGAAGGCGUUCGGGGUGUAAAGUACUUUCAGCGGGGAGGCGUUACCCGCAGAAGAAGCACCGGCUAACUCCGUGCCAGCAGCCGCGGUAAUUC
rnacentral:rRNA from 1 species